AGAGUUUGAUCCUGGCUCAGGACGAACGCUGGCGGCGUGCCUAACACAUGCAAGUCGAGCGAUGAAGCCCUUCGGGGUGGAUUAGCGGCGGACGGGUGAGUAACACGUGGGUAACCUGCCUCAAAGAGGGGGAUAGCCUCCCGAAAGGGAGAUUAAUACCGCAUAACAUUGGUUUUUCGCAUGAAGAACUAAUUAAAGGAGCAAUCCGCUUUGAGAUGGACCCGCGGCGCAUUAGCUAGUUGGUGAGGUAACGGCUCACCAAGGCGACGAUGCGUAGCCGACCUGAGAGGGUGAUCGGCCACAUUGGAACUGAGACACGGUCCAGACUCCUACGGGAGGCAGCAGUGGGGAAUAUUGCACAAUGGGCGAAAGCCUGAUGCAGCAACGCCGCGUGAGUGAUGAAGGCCUUCGGGUUGUAAAGCUCUGUCUUUUGGGACGAUAAUGACGGUACCAAAGGAGGAAGCCACGGCUAACUACGUGCCAGCAGCCGCGGUAAUACGUAGGUGGCGAGCGUUGUCCGGAUUUACUGGGCGUAAAGGAUGCGUAGGCGGAUGUUUAAGUGAGAUGUGAAAUACCCGGGCUUAACUUGGGUGCUGCAUUUCAAACUGGACAUCUAGAGUGCGGGAGAGGAGAAUGGAAUUCCUAGUGUAGCGGUGAAAUGCGUAGAGAUUAGGAAGAACACCAGUGGCGAAGGCGAUUCUCUGGACCGUAACUGACGCUGAGGCAUGAAAGCGUGGGUAGCAAACAGGAUUAGAUACCCUGGUAGUCCACGCCGUAAACGAUGAGUACUAGGUGUAGGA
rnacentral:rRNA from 1 species